UAUGACGUUCUUUGUUCUGACAGGACAUAAAGCUGUGCUGAAAACCAUGCUUCUCCAGAGCAGUUUGUCAGAAUAAUCUGGGAAGCUGGCUUCUGAGCUGUGGUCCUCCGUUUGGCUCAGAUGAAACUCUUUUCUAUGCCUCUGGUUGUUUAUUGGUUAUUUUUGUCGAUGUUACUUGGCAUAGUCAGCAGGAUAUCAGAAAAACGCACCUGAGGUCACCUGGAGUCUACUUUGGACCAGCACUUGGUACCAUUCAUGGUCCCUUGAGCCCCUGCAUCUUCACAGCACCCUUUAAGUGAUUUGCUGAUCGCAGUAACCUAUCCUUGGAUGAAGAUCAGAUGCCCCAUGACCUGCACCCGGGAGAUUAUGCAGACUGGAAAAUACAUCAUUUAAAGGACUCUUUCUCCAACUUAGAUGGUAGGACCCUUCUCAGAUACUCUUAAGUAACACAUGCACAAUAAAACUGACGGGAAUUGACUCAAAUUUAUACCUUCUACCUAAGAAGGGCCUCUGCACUGGACUUGGUCUCUAGAAAGGACUGCUGAUCAAAAACCCGUGACUACAUUCUAUCGACGGGUUAUCUUCUUGCUUCUAGUAACGACUUACAAGAAAUUCCCAUUGACAAUGCUGAUCUAACUUGGCUUACAGAUGGGUCCUACUUAAAAUAUGAACAAGGACAUAACUGAGCUGUAUAUGCAGUAACAUCCACAGUGGACGUAAUUGAAAGCUCUUAUUUACCAGAAAUUAACUCAGCACAAUCAGCCAAAUUAAUUGCCUUAACUUGAGCUUGUCAAGUAGCUAAAGACCAGAUAGCAAAUAUUUGUACUGAUGGUCGUUAUGCCUUUGGAGUGGCACACGACUCUGGGAUGUUAUGGCAACAAUGAGGUUUUUAACCUCUUCAAGACAGCCUAUAAAAAAUGGAAAGCAGGGCUUCCCUGAUUGUGCAGUGGUUGAGAGUCUGCCUGCCAAUGCAGGGGACACGGGUUCAAGCCCUGGUUUGGGAAGAUCCCACGUGCCGCGGAGCAACUAAGCCCGUGCACCACAGCUACUGAGCCUGCACGUCUGGAGCCUGUGCUCCGCAACAAGAGAAGGCCGCAACAGUGAGAGGCCCGCGCACCGCGAUGAUGAGUGGCCCCCGCUUGCCGCAACUAGAGAAAGCCCUCGCACAGAAACGAAGACCCAACACAGCCAAAAAUAAAUAAAUAAAUUAAAAAAAAAUGGAAAACAGAUUGCAGAGUUAUUAAAUGCUAUACAAUUACCAAAAGAGUUAGCAAUUAUUAAAACACCAGAACAUUCCAAAUCUAAGACUAUGGAUGGUAAAGGAAAUCAGCUUGCCGAUGAUGUCACAAAGCAAGCAGCUCUAAAUAAUCAUUCUGUCCAGUCUCGAGAAUGUCCACUGCUCUCUGUUAACCCUGCCAACUCAAUGAAGGAUUUCCUUCUACAGGCUCAAGAAAUUGCCGCUGAAGAAGAGAAACAGAUAUAGCAAUAAAAAGGGGGAAUUUUCAACCCCGUCACACAAAUAUGGCUUGGACCUGAUAAGAAACCUAUAGCACCUGCUGGAGCCCCGUUGUCAUUGCUCCAGCAUAUACAUUCUUUAACUCACUGGGCACCUGAGAAAAUGAUUCUAUGGGGAAAACAGUACGUUUGGAAACUUUCUCCCAUAAUGGUUCCUAAUGUAUAUGCUUGCUGUAAUAUAUGUCCUAAAUAUAAUCCUGGAAAGUCAUUUCGUGGGUCACAAGGCCACUUUCCCCUUCCCAAGGGACCCUUUGAGGCAAGGCAAUUGGAUUUUGUCCAGACGCCACCCUCUCAAGGAACUAAACAGAGCUUGGUAAUGAUCUGCGUGUUUUCACACUGGGUUGAAGCUUUUCCAUGCAGGAGAGCAAUGGCUUUAACAGUAGGUAAAUUGUUAUUAGAAAAGACAAUUCCUCUUUGGGGAAUUCCUCCUGAAUUACACAGUGACUGAGGAACUCAUUUUACUGGACAAACAAUUAAAUCUGUUUGUGACAUUUGACCAAUAAUGUGGCAUUUUCACCAUGCUUAUCAUCCCUAAUCUUCAGGAUUGGUAGAAAGGACUAAUGGUGCUAUCAAAGUGCAACUGGGAAAAUGUUCAGCAGCAUUUCAUCUCUCACGGCCAAAAGCUCUUCUUCUAGUGCUUCUCAACCUUAGAUCUAUGCCUUUUGGUAAACACUGGCUGGUCCUUUUGAAAUAACAGGAUGGCCCGUGUGCCUAGAUGAGGGAACUAUGCGCCGACCUCACUCCAAGGAGAUAUGCUGCCUUAGGGUGUUGUCAAACUCCUAUUGAACAUUAAGGAAAAUGAAAAAUCAGUAGCUGGCUUCUUUUACAGUGAGAUCCUGGGAGAUGAAGACCUUCAGGGUCAUGGGUUACAACCUGCAGAUUUUGUUUAUUGGAAAAGACAUAAAAGAUUCCUUGCAGCCACAUUAAAAAGGACCUUACCAGGUAUUAUUAACUAAUCCGUGUGCUACCGAAGUAGAAGGCACAGAUUCGGGGAUUCCCAUCUCUCAUUCUAAAAAGGCCUCUCUAAAAGGGAACCCUCCUGGGGACUUCCCUGGUGGUCCAGUUGUAAAGAAUCCACCUUCCAGCGCAGGGGACGAGGGUUCAAUCUCUGGUUGGGGAACUAAGAUCCCGCAUGCCUCAGGGCAACGAAGCCUGCGUGCCGCAAGUACAGAGCCCUCGCGCCCUGGAGCCCAUGCGCCACAACUAGAGAGAGAGGGGAAAAAAAAACCCACAAAAAACUGACACACCACAACUAGAGAGAAGCCUGUGUGCCAAAACGAAGAUCCCACUUGUCGCAACUAAGACUUGACACAGCCAAAAAGUAUAUUUAUAUAAUAAUACUAAUUAAUAAUAAUAAUAAAGGGAACCCUCCUACACUGUUGGUGGGAAUGUAAAUUGGUGCAGCCACUAUAGAAAACAGUAUGAAGGUUCCUUAAAAACCUGAAAACAGAGUUGUCAUAUGAUCCAGCAAUUCCACUCCUGGGUAUAUAUGCGGACAAAAUUCCAUUUCAAAAAGACACAUGCACCCCUAUGUUCAUAGCAGCACUAUUUACAAUAGCCAAGACAUGAAAGCAACCUGAAUAUCCAUGGACAGAUGAAUGGAUAAAGAAGAUGUGGUACAUAUAUAUAUGUACACUGGAAUGUUACUCAGCCAUAAGAAAUGAAAUAAUGCCAUUUGCAGCAACAUGGAUGGACCUAGAGAUUAUCAUAUUAAGUGAAGUAAGUCAGAAAGAGAAAGACAAAUAUCAUACGAUAUCACUUAUAUGUGGAAUCUAAAAUAUGACAAACGUGAACUUAUUUACAAAACAGAAGCAGACUCACAGGCAUGGAGAAGACUUGUGGUUGUCAAGGGAGAGGGGGAUGGGGGAGGGUUGGAUUGGGAGUUUGGGGUUAGCAGAUGCAAACAAUUAUAUAUAGGAUGAAUAAGCAACAAGGUCCUACUGUGUAGCACAGGGAACUAUAUUCAAUAUCCUGUAAUAAACCAUAAUGGAAAAGAGUAUGAAAAAUAAAAAAAUAUGUAUAUGUAUAACUGAAUCACUUUGCUGUACACCAGAAACUAAAACAACAUUGUAAAUCAACUAUACUUCAAUUUUAAAAAAAACGAAAUUUGUACUUACACACACACACAAAAGCCCUCUCCACCUGAAUGGACUUUGUCCCCUAUUUCUGACACUUGGCUUCAACUAACUGAUAUCAGAUGGCACCCUCACCAGGAUGAGAAGAAGAUGACAGCAGUGGUAGACAGCUGACCCAGAAUCAGGGCCAGACCUGUAAGACCCAUCCGACUAGUUUAAUUGAAAUGUUUACCAAAUAUUUGUCUCCCUAUCAAAACUGAAAGUUAUUGUUUUGCUUCUAGCUAUACUUUUGCCCCAGUAUUCAUGAUGGAAAGAAAAUUCUUUAGUAAAGUUUUCAUCACGUAUAUCUACUGGGAUAAUCCCCUCAUAAUAUCUAUCACUGACUUUUCAGAUGUUCCUAAUGUUACCACUCACCCAGACCAACCUCCCUCUGACCUAAUCUUUCAGGUUCAGAUUCCUCAACAUAUUAAUAUGUCCAUCCCUUUUCUGAUACUAUCCUCUGUUCUUAGAGACUGGACACAAUUUACCCCAGGAUGCCCUCAUUCUGUUCCUUAUUUAAUUGAAAAAUGUCUUUAAAAAAAGAGAAAAAUGUCUUAAAGAGAAAAAGGUGAGUAAAUUGUGCCAGCAGUGCCCUUAUAUCAAAUACUUAGUUGACUUUUGGAAAGCCUACAAGAGAAGGGAUCCAUAGUUUAAAGUUGUGUUGACAAAACUCCCAAAUCAUGAGGCUGUCAAUGAUAGCACUCUGGGAGGGACCACUUGUGCUCCCCCAGGUUUUGUCUUCAUAUGUGGUAUUGGAACUGACCUACCUUCCCAAGGAUGGGUUCAUAAAUGUCUUGAUAGCUGACAAAUAGAAGGUUUAUGUUUAUUAGGACAUUAUGUUACUUCAUUGUCUAUACAUCAGGAAAUAGAUGAAUCUCCUUUGUCUUUUCAUUACAGAAGCAAGAGAUCCAGGUUAGCAAGAUACCAAGAUAUCUGGUGGCACAAUCCUUUGGUUCCUAAUGCAGGAAUAUAUGUAAACAAAGAGAUGAUUAGAAAUCUAUCAGCUACCAUUCAUCAAAUAGCUGAAGAGACUGCAAAAAACACUGCAGCACAACAGACAUCCCUAAAUUCCUUAGCCAAAGUUGUGUUAGAUAACAGGGUUGCCUUAGAUGUUCUAUUGGCUAAACAAGGACGUGUUUCUGCUAUUGCUCAUACUACUUGUUGUAAUUAUAUCAAUACCACUGGAGAAGUUGAGACGUGCCUAGAAAUAACUUCCCCAAAGGCAAGGUGGUUACAAGAUGUAAGAAAAACUGACCCUUUAAGUGACCUGUUUAAUUGGCACACUUCAGGAAUAAGCUAUCUUUUCCACUCUGCUUUACAAAUGAUUAUUAUUUUCAUAAUAUAUGUUACCAUUCUUUUCCUAACUAUCAGCUACUAAUGACAUGUAUCACUGCUUGCUUUAAGUCUACUGCUAAAGGCACAUGUAGGGACUUCCCUGGUUGUUCAGUGGUUAAGACUUCACCUUCCAGUGCAGGGGGUGUUGGUUCGAUCCCUGGUCGGGGAGCUGAGAUCCCAUGUGCCUCAUGGCCAAAAAAACAAAAUAUAAAGCAGAAACAAUAUUGUAACAAAUUCAAUAAAGACUUUAAAAAGUCUUUUUUGGUCCACAUUAAAAAAUAUUAAAGAAAAAUAAAUAAAAACACAUGUACUAUGUUUGUGUGACAAUUCGAUAUGGUUGAUAAUAUGUAUAGCUUAUAAAAUUCUUCCCGUGUCAAUAUAUGGCUCUGUUUUUAUCCAUUACACUCAAUUACACUCCCCCGCAGUGAGAAUAACUAGGCAUCUCUAUUCCUGUAAAAAAAUAAAUAAAUAAAAAUAAAGGAAAGAGGUAGACCUAGGACCAAGGGACAUGAUAGACCCAGGGCAGGCAGCAACCACCCUGGCAUUGAGGGAAAAAAAAAUUUUUUUUUUUGCGGUACGCAGGCCUCUCACUGCUGUGGUCUCUCCCGUUGCGGAGCACAGGCUCUGGACGCGCAGGCUCAGCGGCCAUGGCUCACGGGUCCAGCCGCUCCGCAGCAUGUGGGAUCUUCCUGGACCGGGACACGAACCUGUGUCCCAUGCAUCAGCAGGUGGACUCUCAACCACUGCGCCACCAGGGAAGCCCAGGGACAAAUAUUUUGAUCAUCAGUGCUUUCUAUUGAAAGAUUUACAAUCAAAAUAGGAGAAAUGAUGAAAGAGAAUUUUACAUUUUGAGACACGGGGAAGUCAUUCUGGCUUAUACACGAGUUAACUUGAAUUUUAUGCUGACUAGAACAGCCUGUUUGUGGCCUAUCAAACAUACUUCUACAUCUGCUUUAGUUAUUAAAGAAAAGCGUGCAUUGACCAGAAGUAAAGAACGUCCAUGUUAAGAACAAAGAUUAACUGCCUCCCUUUCUGGAACACCAGUGCUUGUACUCUUUCAGUGAUAAGACUCCCUCCCCAGGUGCCAAGACCAUACUGACUCACUGGGUAUGUGCUGAUCUGUUUUUCUGAAACCUUGAAGGAAGAUAUCUUUGACUUGUUUGAUGUUAUUUGUUCUGACAACACAUAAAACUAUGCUGAAAACCAUGCUUCUCUGGAGCAGUUUCUCAGAGUAAUCUGGGAAACUGGCUUCCGGGCUAUAGUCCUCAGUUUGGCUCAAAUAAACCUCUUUUUUAAUACCUA